AUUCCAAAGUAGUAAACAGGGUUUACUGUUUAAAAGUAAAGGGGUUUUUGUUCAGUAAUAAGGAAAUAACUAAUACACAAAGUCUGGGUUAAUGCUGGCUGCCAAGGUGGCCAAUCCCCACCCCAGGAAAUGACAUCAUUACUUUAGAAAGAAAAGACUCAUGUUGCAAACUAGCAUUAAUGCAAAAACAGGUGCAAUAAAGAGUUCUGAACUGAGAGCAUACUUUAUUUUACAACCAAAUCAAAAUGUUUAUAGCCAUAUAUGCUGUUCUCUUCUCUUUGGCCACAGAAGCUGUUCUGGGAGUGACACUGGAGCAAAAAGAUCUCUCCAUAACAAAAGAGGAGACCAAAAGAGUGUCUAUCAGCUGCAGCGUGACCGGAUUAUCCACACAGUAUGUCCACUGGUACCAAAAGAAAGACAAUGAAGCUCUCACAAGGAUCCUAUAUGUCAAAAGUGGAAGCAAACCUGUUCAUGAUAACCAUCCUGAAGCAAAGGACUUCGAUGUGUGGCCACAGUCUGCUAAUUAUGAUCUGAAGAUAGCAAACCUGAAGAAAAGUCACUCUGCAGUUUAUUACUGUGCCAGCUGGGAGUACAGCAGUGACACAGUGACAGUAAAUAUUCAAAGUGUGUACAAAAACCCUAAUGGUUCACAACUACAACAGGAAAUGAUAUGAAGUGUUAA